rnacentral:rRNA from 1 species
GCGCAGCAGUCGCGCAACCUCUGCAAUACGCGAAAGUGUGACAGGGCUACCCCGAGUGCCGUCCGCUGAGGAUGGCUUUUCUCCGGUGUAGUAAGCCGGAGGAAUAAGGAGAGGGCAAGUCUAGUGUCAGCCGCCGCGGUAAUACCAGCUCUCCGAGUGGUAGGGACGAUUAUUGGGCCUAAAGCGUCCGUAGCCGGCCAAGCAAGUUUCCCGUUAAAUCCAGCGAUCCAAUCGUUGGACUGCGGGAAAUACUGUUUGGCUAGGGGGCGAGAGAGGCCAACGGUAUUCCCGGGGUAGGGGUGAAAUCCCAUAAUCCCGGGAGGACCACCAGUGGCGAAGGCUGUUGGCUAGAACGCGCUCGACGGUGAGGGACGAAAGCUGGGGGAGCGAACCGGAUUAGAUACCCCCGUAGUCC